AGGGUCAUAGCUCAGUGGUAGAGCAUCUGUUUGGAUGCAAAAGGCUCUGGGUUCAAUCCCCAGCAUCCCUA